rnacentral:lncRNA from 1 species
GGAAGUAUGUGGCAGGAGAAUGUUUUGAGAUAUCAGUUCAUUAUUUUGCGUUUUGUUCACUGUAUUUUCCUUCUCUUUCAAGCCCUACCUUGAAUUCUAAGAACAUAAUCAGUCCAUUGUGCUCGCUUACCCCUGGGAAAGUUGGUGCUGUUGGGCUGAAAAUAGAUGUGGUCGGCCAACAAGCUCCCUUCCUGGUUUUUGUUUUCUGGAGGCCUGAGUUCCUAGGGAGGAUUGUACUAGGCUUAAAGCAAGAAAGGUGAUUGAGGAAGGGAAAGCAGCCCGACAAGAGGGUUUUCCAAGAAUGGGAAGAAGAAUGGAUGUAUGCAGAUCCUUGGUUGAGUGGGAAUGCCGCUCUCAGUUAGUACCCGGGUGAGGCAGCAGGAACUCAGAAGAGACUAUCUUUAGAAUAUGGCUAAAGGGGGUGGACCCUAAACACCAAAACCUCCAGCCUCAGCAGAGUCCUGGCAUCAAUCUUGGCACCAACACAGCACGGCGCUCUGCUUCCUGGUGUGGCGGGGGAGAAGGGGACUAUGAACAAUAGCAGCAGCGAGAGCCCCAUUUUCUAGGCACUCUUCUGUUCCGGGGAGACCUUAGGGAAGGAGAACUCUACCCCAACUACAACAGAAAAUAGUCAGCUGAGAUGGAACUUUCCAUCUGUCAAGUGGGAUGGAAGCUUGAGGGCGAUCUUCAGGUUCCAACCCUGGAGCUUUCAUGCCUUCAGGAGGAAGAGUGCCUGAGAAGCAUGCUGUCUUUGCGAUCUAGAACAAACUUUGUCCUUUCUAGAAUAGGAGGAGACAACAAGGCGAGUCUGAAACUGAAAGGGAAGGUCUGCGUGUUGAGGCUGGUUGUCCAAGGUAAGUGUUCCCUUCUCCAUUUACUGUAGGAGCAGCGCAGUGUGUAACAUACGAAGUUUGCACAUUCCUGCAGCUUGGUUUCGAGUCCCAGAAUUCUUACUGAUGCGAUGUUGAUAGUGUGGUUGCCUAAUGAACCAGUUCUAGACUCAGCUUUUAACGUAAAACUAAAAGAGAUGAAAGACUUGCAGAUUUUCAGACCCUGGAAACCCUAGAUCUAGAUAACACAAAAAGGCGCUUCUCCCCUUAGUAGUCAGGAUUGUCAUGGUUACCUAUAAAACAGUAUUUGCAUUUCAAAGAAAUCCACAUUUUUU